rnacentral:rRNA from 1 species
GUGGGGAAUAUUGGACAAUGGGCGCAAGCCUGAUCCAGCCAUGCCGCGUGAGUGAUGAAGGCCUUAGGGUUGUAAAGCUCUUUCAGUGGGGACGAUAAUGACGGUACCCACAGAAGAAGCCCCGGCUAACUUCGUGCCAGCAGCCGCGGUAAUACGAAGGGGGCUAGCGUUGUUCGGAUUUACUGGGCGUAAAGCGCACGUAGGCGGAUCGUUAAGUCGGGGGUGAAAUCCUGGAGUCCAACUCCAGAACUGCCUUCGAUACUGGCGAUCUUGAGUCCGGAAGAGGUGAGUGGAACUCCGGGUGUAGAGGUGGAAUUCGUAGAUAUUAGGAAGAACACCAGUGGCGAAGGCGGCUCACUGGUCCGGUACUGACGCUGAGGUGCGAAAGCGUGGGGAGCAAACAGGAUUAGAUACCCGGGUAGUCC